rnacentral:rRNA from 1 species
UCCUACGGGGGGCAGCAGUGGGGAAUAUUGGACAAUGGGGGAAACCCUGACCCAGCGACGCCGCGUGAGUGAAGAAGUAUUUCGGUAUGUAAAGCUCUAUCAGCAGGGAAGAAAAUGACGGUACCUGACUAAGAAGCCCCGGCUAACUACGUGCCAGCAGCCGCGGUAAUACGUAGGGGGCAAGCGUUAUCCGGAUUUACUGGGUGUAAAGGGAGCGUAGACGGCCAUUCAAGCCAGAUGUGAAAGCCCGGGGCUCAACCCCGGGACUGCAUUUGGAACUGUGUGGCUAGAGUGUGGGGGAGGCG